AGCAACAUCAACUUCAGCAAAAGAGAAGCGGGACGUGCAGCCGAUGACAAAGCCAAGAGGAAGGUGAAAACAUACGAGGCGUUGAUCAAUCAAAACUACUUAUUCGUACCAUUCUCGGUCGAAACGAUGGGUCCGUGGAGUCGCGAGGCCAUGGGCUUCUUCAAUGAUCUGAGUUAAGCAUGGCAAUACAACGGGGGAAUGCUGCAGCGGUCAUGGGAACCUUUAGAGAAAACGAAAAGAUGGACGAAGUUUUUUAUCUGCUGUCAUCUUAAAUUGUAUUUUUGUAAAUUGUAAA